CCAGCUCCAAUAGCGUAUAUUAAAGUUGUUGCAGUUAAAAAGCUCGUAGUUGGAUUUCGGAAGGUCUUUAGUGGUCCGCCCCUUCGGGGAGCGGGUCACUGGCCUCCUAUGUUCCUAACGGUCCUCAUCCGCGAGGGUGGGGAAUCAACCGCUAGGAUCGUUUACUUUGAGGAAAUUAGAGUGUUCAAAGCAGGCGUAACUCGCCUCCGAAUACGUUAGCAUGGGAUAAUGGAAUACGACUUCGGUCUUGUUUCGUUGGUUUCGCUUGGCUGAAGUAAUGAUUGAUAGGGACAGUUGGGGGCAUUAGUAUUUAGUUGUCAGAGGUGAAAUUCUAGGAUUUACUAAAGACUGACCAAUGCGAAAGCAUUUGCCAAGGAUGUUUUCAUUAAUCAAGAACGAAAGUAGGGGGAUCGAAGACGAUCAGAUACCGUCGUAGUCUCUACCGUAAACUAUGCCGACCAGGGAUCCGGAGAGUUUGCAUGGAUGACUCCCCGGGCACCUUGUGAGAAAUCAUAAGUGUUUGGGUUUUGGGGGGAGUAUGGUCGCAAGGCUGAAACUUAAAGGAAUUGACGGAAGGGCACCACCAGGAGUGGAACCUGCGGCUUAAUUUGACUCAAC
rnacentral:rRNA from 1 species